UUGUUGGUAAGGUAAAAGCUUACCAAGGCUUCGAUCAGUAGCUGGUCUGAGAGGACGACCAGCCACACUGGGACUGAGACACGGCCCAGACUCCUACGGGAGGCAGCAGCGGGGAAUUUUGGACAAUGGGGGCAACCCUGAUCCAGCCAUGCCGCGUGAGUGAAGAAGGCCUUCGGGUUGUAAAGCUCUUUCAGCCGGAACGAAACGGUUACGGAUAAUACCCGUGACUACUGACGGUACCGGAAGAAGAAGCACCGGCUAACUACGUGCCAGCAGCCGCGGUAAUACGUAGGGUGCAAGCGUUAAUCGGAAUUACUGGGCGUAAAGCGUGCGCAGGUGGUUUUGUAAGUCAGAUGUGAAAGCCCCGGGCUCAACCUGGGAACUGCGUUUGAAACUACAAGACUAGAGUGUGGCAGAGGGGGGUGGAAUUCCGCGUGUAGCAGUGAAAUGCGUAGAGAUGUGGAGGAACACCGAUGGCGAAGGCAGCCCCCUGGGUUAACACUGACACUCAGGCACGAAAGCAUGGGGAGCAAACAGGAUUAGAUACCCUGGUAGUCCAUGCCCUAAACGAUGUCAACUAGUUGUCGGGCCUUUACGGGCUUGGUAACGUAGCUAACGCGUGAAGUUGACCGCCUGGGGAGUACGAUCGCAAGAUUAAAACUCAAAUGAAUUGACGGGGACCCGCACAAGCGGUGGAUUAUGUGGAUUAAUUCGAUGCAACGCGAAAAACCUUACCUACCCUUGACAUGUAUCGAAGCCCGCAGAAAAGCGGGGGUGCCCGAAAGGGAACGAUAACACAGGUGCUGCAUGGCUGUCGUCAGCUCGUGUCGUGAGAUGUUGGGUUAAGUCCCGCAACGAGCGCAACCCUUGUCAUUAAUUGCCAUCAUUUAGUUGGGCACUUUAAUGAGACUGCCGG
rnacentral:rRNA from 1 species